rnacentral:lncRNA from 13 species
UUUCCUUGCAGACAAUUCAGAAGAUGGAAUAUUUCAACUCUAAAAGUAAGCACCUGCUGUCCCCAUGGUGAUCAUGUAGGGAAAACAUCAGAGAGUCCUGUGUGCCGACACUGCAAGGCCAAGCCUGCCCUGCCUCUUGGAACAAGUUGCUCACCUGCUCUAAGCUCCAGGUCCCUCCCUGGUGCAAUAAGCAUAGUGAGCCCCUGCUCCAUGGAGUUCUGAGAACUGCAUGGGAUCCUGCAGUUGCAGCCCUGGUGCUCAUAACCCUGAGGUGCUUGCCCUCUAGUUGGGCUGUGUGAAAAGGAAAAGAGAAGAGCCACCGAGUGACUUGCAUCCCCUGACCACGUCUCAGAUGAUGCAGAAGGCUUUCCAUGGCCCCCAACUCUCCUCCCUAGUGCGAGGCUGCAGCUCUUGUCAGGAAAAGGUGGAGCAGGCAAGGUUGCCAGCUUGAUUCUCACAAUGAGCUUUCAUUGAUGAAGCCAGCCACGUGUGACAAGACUAGGAAGAUAACAGCAAUUGCAGACAGCCCAGACCAAGUGUUUGCGGUGGAGAAUGGCUUCAAGGCGAGAAGCACCAUUGACACCAUGAGUGGGCUGAUGUGAGGGGUUGGGGCACCUGGCUCCUGUGGCUGGAGGCUCACUCUGCCUGCCCCACCCCAACCCUCCUGUGUUCCAGCUCACGUCAAAG